AUCAUACAAUGAUACAGCAGUUAUUGAACUCAGAUAUACUAGUGAUAAUGAUUGGUCUACUAGUGUAAUACCUCUGGACCAGUACCAAGAUCAACUAAGAAGAAGGAUACUGAGUGAUUGGAAGAAUUUAGGAACAGAAAAACAGCUUCAAAUAUUUCAAGAUCGUCUGCAAUUACAAA